rnacentral:pre_miRNA from 2 species
UUCAAGUAAUCCAGGAUAGGCUGUUUCCAUCCGUGAGGCCUAUUCUUGAUUACUUGUUUC